UGUGGGAGCGAGCCUGCUCGCGAUAGCAGUGGGUCAGUCGGCAUAUUUGUUGAAUGACCCACCGCUAUCGCGAGCAGGCUCGCUCCCACA
rnacentral:misc_RNA from 1 species